rnacentral:rRNA from 1 species
AUUGAACGCUGGCGGCAUGCCUAACACAUGCAAGUCGAGCGGAUGAAGGGAGCUUGCUCCUGGAUUCAGCGGCGGACGGGUGAGUAAUGCCUAGGAAUCUGCCUGGUAGUGGGGGAUAACGUCCGGAAACGGGCGCUAAUACCGCAUACGUCCUGAGGGAGAAAGUGGGGGAUCUUCGGACCUCACGCUAUCAGAUGAGCCUAGGUCGGAUUAGCUAGUUGGUGGGGUAAGGGCCUACCAAGGCGACGAUCCGUAACUGGUCUGAGAGGAUGAUCAGUCACACUGGAACUGAGACACGGUCCAGACUCCUACGGGAGGCAGCAGUGGGGAAUAUUGGACAAUGGGCGAAAGCCUGAUCCAGCCAUGCCGCGUGUGUGAAGAAGGUCUUCGGAUUGUAAAGCACUUUAAGUUGGGAGGAAGGGCAGUAAGUUAAUACCUUGCUGUUUUGACGUUACCAACAGAAUAAGCACCGGCUAACUUCGUG